UUUUGUAGCUUAUGCAUAUUAAAAGUUACUUUUAUUUUGAUUUACCAAACAUAGCUAAUACAAAUCUUGAAAAGUUGAAUUUUUAUCAAAUGGGGCCAUAACUGACUCAUCUAGACAUCUACUGGACAAGACUUGGUUGUUAUAGUUUAUUCAUAGAUUUUCUUUUUCCUGUGUUGUUUUUUUCCCUAUAUUUGAAGGCUUUUGAGUGUGGUUUAUUAUGAUCUUUGCUUCAUGCUUUCUUUAAUUAUUUACUUUUUUAUGCUUCAACUGCGUUUUGAAUAAGUGGUCCCUGAGUAAAAUCUUUUGGACAGCCUUGUACUCCCUACAAAGUUAAAAUUUGGAGUCCGCACUGCGGAACAUUCCCUAACUUAUACAGAGAUUUCGUGCAGGAAGAGGCGAAACACCAAGAACCAAAGGACAAAGUGGCAGCGAUGGCGAUGGUGAGGAGGCAAAGGAUGUUGGAAUGCGAAAAGGAAAACAUGGAGAAGAAGCCCUUCAUGGACAUACAAACUGAGACCAAGAGAUUCAGGCAAACAACACUUGAUUUGAUUUUCAUUUUUAGCAUUCAGCAACAAUCGUUACAAAUCAGUAACAACAGCAAGAAAAUUUCAACAAAAGCUUCAGGAAUUAAAAAAAGAGCAACAGCACAAAAUCAAUUAUUUGAUUUUCCAUUAACCCAGUCACAGUUUCACAUU